rnacentral:rRNA from 1 species
UUUAAUUCGAAGCAACGCGAAGAACCUUACCAAAUCUUGACAUCCUUUGAAAACUCUAGAGAUAGAGCCUUCCCCUUCGGGGGACAAAGUGACAGGUGGUGCGUGGUUGUCGUCAGCUCGUGUCGUGAGAUGUUGGGUUAAGUCCCGCAACGAGCGCAACCCUUAAACUUAGUUGCCAGCAUUUAGUUGGGCACUCUAGGUUGACUGCCGGUGACAAACCGGAGGAAGGUGGGGAUGACGUCAAAUCAUCAUGCCCCUUAUGAUUUGGGCUACACACGUGCUACAAUGGACAAUACAAAGGGCAGCUAAACCGCGAGGUCAUGCAAAUCCCAUAAAGUUGUUCUCAGUUCGGAUUGUAGUCUGCAACUCGACUACAUGAAGCUGGAAUCGCUAGUAAUCGUAGAUCAGCAUGCUA